rnacentral:rRNA from 1 species
CACGUAGGGGACGAGCGUUGUCCGGAUUCAUUGGGCGUAAAGGGUGCGUAGGCGGGUCUUUAAGUCAGGGGUGAAAUCCUGGAGCUCAACUCCAGAACUGCCUUUGAUACUGAAGAUCUUGAGUUCGGGAGAGGUGAGUGGAACUGCGAGUGUAGAGGUGAAAUUCGUAGAUAUUCGCAAGAACACCAGUGGCGAAGGCGGCUCACUGGCCCGAUACUGACGCUGAGGCACGAAAGCGUGGGGAGCAAACAGG